rnacentral:tRNA from 3 species
UCCGGCAUAGCUCAGCGGUAGAGUAGAUGACUGUUAAUCAUUUGGUCCCAGGUUCGAAUCCUGGUGCCGGAG